rnacentral:tRNA from 2 species
AAUUAAUGAGCUUGAACAAGCAUAUGCUUUGAAAGCAUAAAAUAAAAGUAAAAUCUUUUAUUAAUUU